ACUUUUAACAACGGAUCUCUUGGUCUCGCAUCGAUGAAGAACCCAAGCAAAUUCGAUUAAGUAUGUUAAUUCCAAUUCAAGUAAUCAUUGAUCCUUGACGCCCCCUGGGCCUUUGGUAUUCGAAGGCAUGCUGUUUAAGGUCAUUA
rnacentral:rRNA from 1 species